rnacentral:rRNA from 1 species
GAUGAACGCUGGCGGCGUGCCUAAUACAUGCCAGUCGAACGGGGAGUAGCAAUACUCUUAGUGGCGAACGGGUGAGUAACGCGUUGGUACCUGCCCCGAAGCGGGGGAUAACGGACCGAAAGGUCCGCUAAUACCCCAUGUGCUCGGUAACGAGUAAAGGUGAAAACCACUUUGGGAGGGGCCUGCGUCCCAUCAGCUAGUUGGUAGGGUAACGGCUUACCAAGGCGAUGACGGGUAGGGGACCUGAGAGGGUGGCCCCCCACAAUGGAACUGAAACACGGUCCAUACACCUACGGGUGGCAGCAGUAGGGAAUAUUGGUAAUGGGCGCAAGCCUGAACCAGCAACGCCGCGUGUGCGAUGACGGCCUUCGGGUUGUAAAGCACUUUUGACUGGGACGAGGAAGGACGGUACCGGUCGAAUCAGCCUCGGCUAACUACGUG